rnacentral:lncRNA from 1 species
UAUAUAGUGUUAAAAGUGACGGUUACAUAAGAAUAGGCUUUAAUGCGCCUAAUGAAUGACAUUAUUAUGAAGAAUAUUAAUGUAAGUAACCGUUACUGUAAUUGAAUGUAGUAAGACUUGUUCUCAAGUAAAGGUAAUAGAAAAGAGGUGUACAAGAAUAGGUACGAGAGAAGAAGCUGUAUGAGAAUAGGUACAAGAGAAUAAGCUGUACAUGAAUAAGUAUACGAGAACAAGAUAAGAGGGUGAAACACUUGUACUUCAGGAAAGGGUUAAGAGGAAGACCUCUUAACUACCUCCAUAUCUCAGCCACCAAGCCAAACUCUCUGAAACAUCCCAAGAUGAAAGUAACCCAUGAACCCUGUCACUUAUUCUGAGUUACUUUCACUGUCAUCCAAGUGAAACGGUUAUUCUAUUCAAAGUGGUUGUUCUACUUGUAUUAGUUAUUCUAUAUGGAGUAAUACUUUACUUUUUCUAAUUGUUCUGCUUUAAGUAAUACUUGAAGUAGCGCUUCACUUGUUCUGCGUGAAGUAGCGCUUCACUUGUUCUGCGUGAAGUAACGCUUCACUUGUUCU